GAUGAACGCUGGCGGCGUGCCUAAUACAUGCAAGUCGAGCGAACAGACGAGGAGCUUGCUCCUUCGACGUUAGCGGCGGACGGGUGAGUAACACGUAGGUAACCUACCUAUAAGACUGGGAUAACUUCGGGAAACCGGAGCUAAUACCGGAUAAUAUUUCGAACCGCAUGGUUCGAUAGUGAAAGAUGGCUUUGCUAUCACUUAUAGAUGGACCUGCGCCGUAUUAGCUAGUUGGUAAGGUAACGGCUUACCAAGGCAACGAUACGUAGCCGACCUGAGAGGGUGAUCGGCCACACUGGAACUGAGACACGGUCCAGACUCCUACGGGAGGCAGCAGUAGGGAAUCUUCCGCAAUGGGCGAAAGCCUGACGGAGCAACGCCGCGUGAGUGAUGAAGGUCUUCGGAUCGUAAAACUCUGUUAUUAGGGAAGAAUAAACGUGUAAGUAACUGUGCACGUCUUGACGGUACCUAAUCAGAAAGCCACGGCUAACUACGUG
rnacentral:rRNA from 1 species